GGGUUUUAUUUUCUAAAAAGGCAUCUACGGAUGAAAUAAUCUUAAUGCUCUCUUUCUCUAUGGUUGGUUCUCUCUGCAUUGGCCCUGGGCAACAUCUGUUGAUAGAACUUUGCUUCAUUGUAAUUGAAAAAGCAAGCAAACAUGUAUCAACAUCUGUAAAUGUUUUCAUUCAGUCCACCAUGGAACUAAAAUACAUCCUAUGUUUAGCAUGCCUUUAUUCUCUUUUCCGCCCACCU
rnacentral:lncRNA from 1 species